UUGGGAUAGCUCAGUUGGUAGAGCAAAGGACUG
rnacentral:tRNA from 1 species